AUGGAGAUGGUAGCUAAUCCUAUGGUGCUGAUCAUUACACAAUUUAUAAAUGUAUCAAAUCAAUACAUUGUACACCUGAAACUUACACAGUUAUGCCUCCGUUAUAUCUCAAUAAAGCUGGAGAAAAACAAAGAACAAAAAACCAAUGAGAACUGUGAGGAAGUAUGGGAAGGGUUUCGAGUAGAGGAGUUGUCAGACCCUGUGAGCAAGCUCCCUCUGGCUGCUGCUGGGCAUGGAUUGUGCGAACAGCGGACGAGUGCCUGCUACAAUAACCCAGAGGAGAGACGAGAGGGCCUUGGACCUGAAAGAAGAGCGGAGUCCAUGUCUGGACAGCACGGAGAGCAGAGGCUGCCAAAGAGACAGCCAACAUCUACAUCACAAAAGAGCCAUGGCCAACGGAGAAAGCGGAAAGAAUGCACACUGCCCUGUACUACGUGGAGAAGGAGCCAGCAAGCAGUAUGA
rnacentral:lncRNA from 1 species